rnacentral:rRNA from 1 species
ACGCAUCUGUGCAUGCAGCAUAUCAAUAAGCGGAGGAAAAGAAACUAACAAGGAUUCCCCUAGUAACGGCGAGUGAAGCGGGAAGAGCUCAAAUUUGAAAUCUUAAAGGGUUUCCCUUUACGAAUUGUAGUUUAAAGAAGUGUUUUCUGUUGAGGUUUUGGUAAAAGUUCUUUGGAAUAGGACAUCAUAGAGGGUGAGAAUCCCGUAUUUGACCUUUACUUUCAACUUUGUGAUACGCUUUCAAAGAGUCGGAUUGUUUGGGAAUGCAGUCCAAAAUGGGUGGUAAAUUUCAUCUAAAGCUAAAUAUUGGCGAGAGACCGAUAGCGAACAAGUACCGUGAGGGAAAGAUGGAAAGGACUUUGAAAAGAGAGUUAAACAGUACGUGAAAUUGUCAAAAGGGAAGCGUUUGACACCAGUGUUGUUUUUCUGAGAAUCAAUUAAAGAACUGUUUAUGCUAAGUUGUUUAGACUUUAUCAGCUAACUGUUUAGUUUUGAGCUUUUCUUUAAGUGCACUUUUCAGUUAACAAGUCAACAUCAAUUUCUUUUGCUGUAAAAAAGCUUGAGGAAGGUGGCUUGAGAUUCGUCUUAAGUGUUUAUAGCCUCUUGCCUAUGCAGUCGGAGAGAUUGAGGUCUGCAGCGUAGAUCCUUCGGGGCUAAAUGCAUUUGUGCUAAGUUAUAAGCAUUUUAUAGACAACUUGUUGACUAUGAUUUGUCUUGUAGCUUACUCGCUUAUGUUAUUUUACCUACGCUUAGGAUGUUGAACGCGCACAGAGUCUC